rnacentral:lncRNA from 1 species
AGCCUUUUUUAUCUUUUUUAACAGAAAUGGGCUGGGGGCUUGCUUUCCGCAAUCAGGCACUUUUUCAAGUUGGUCCUGAACGGUUCUGGACUGGAUGGCAGGCUGCUGUGUGUGAUUGAGAAUGUUGCCUGUCUGAGCCCUGAGAUGACAAUGUCUAACAUAUUGCAAAGGAAAGAUCUAGCAUUCAUUGGAUGGCUUUAAUAGUAAAGUGGACACAGCAGAGACAGGAAAAGUGAGCUUGAAUUCCUCAAAGCAAGUCAUUACAUUUCCAGACUGAAGCACACAGAAAAAAAAAUAAGAAUGGGACAAUAGCAGAAGAGAUUAUAAGGGAGAUGUUGGACCCAGUCACAGGGUUAGCAUUUAUAACUUUGGGAUCCCAGGAGGGUAGGAGAGAGAUGUGACAGGUGCAACGUUUGGAAAAACCUGAUGUACAGGAAUUCCUCGUUUUAUUGUGCUUUCCUUAUUGAACUUUCCAGAUAUUACAUGUUUUACAAAUAAUUGAAGGUUUGUGGCAACCCUGGGUCGAGCAUGUCUAUUGGCCCUCAGCAACCACCACCCUGAUCAGUCAGCAGCCAUCAGCAUUGAGGCAAGACCAUCCACCAGCAAAAAGAUUACAACUCACUGAAGGC